rnacentral:tRNA from 1 species
UUAGUGAGGUAAGGUUUUGAAAAGGCUUAUCGCUCAACUGACUCUUAAUCAGCGGGUCCACGGUUCGAGCCCGUGAUCACCCACCA